ACAAAGCACGACUAGGAAUUAGUGCCAGGAUGCCCUUCCCCUUCUUGGUUUAAGUGGGAAAGGAGAUGAGUGUCACCAAAGGAACUUGGAGAAAACAGAGUUCAAUUCCAAGGCUGGGCAGCAUAGAUAGGAACAUCAUGAAGCUUCAGGGAUCCUGACAACAACUCUAUUUGCUAUCUGUUUUGGCAUCCAGUGAAAAACUUCAUUAUUCUUCCAGUUAAUGGAAAGAAUUCUCCGACUUCCUUUGGCACCAUGGAAGACACUAUUUUCAGACACAAGGUAAGAACACUUUUCUCAUGAAGUAAACAAUAUGGCUGACCCGUUCUAUUUUCCAUCUGGAUGCCAAAACUAAAAUACAGAGGAAAUGAGCAAGCCUGGAAUAUGGAGAAUCGUCAUUAACCCUCCACAUAAAGAUGAGGAGGCUGCCUCGAUGUGAAUGGAAAGUCAUUGGAUAAGAAGACAUCGGAGAAUCUUGAGCACAGGAGUAACAGGAUGGUUUUGGCUACAAUAUUAAGGAGAGAUCAUAGUGGCAGGUGCGAUAAUGCUGGAAGGCAGCUAACAGUGUUCAUGUAACCAUCCAAUCAUCUAAUCAUGCA